rnacentral:rRNA from 1 species
UACAGAGGUCUCAAGCGUUGUUCGGAAUCACUGGGCGUAAGGGUGCGUAGGCGGAACGCCAAGUCAGAUGUGAAAGACCGGGGCUCAACCCCGGAACGGCAUCCGAUACUGGCGAUCUAGAGGGCUCGGAGGGGAGUGUGGAAUUCACGGUGUAGCAGUGAAAUGCGUAGAUAUCGUGAGGAACACCAGUGGCGAAGGCGACACUCUGGAGAGCAACUGACGCUGAGCACGAAGGCCAGGGGAGCGAACGGG